CCAAAGCUUAGAGAAAAAAGAAAAGGAAUGAACAAAGCCUCCAAGAAACGUAGGACUAUGUGAAGAGACCAAACCUACCUUUGUUUGGUGUACCUAAAAGUGA